rnacentral:rRNA from 1 species
AUGCAAGCCAGCCAACCGACCAGCAAGCGGCGGCGCUGCACGCACGCUCGCGGUGACGACGGCCAGCACGCGGCGGCGGGGGCUGCUGCGCACGCAAGGCCGCGGCACGCCAGCACGUCCGAGGCGGCUCCAGCCGGCCAGCAAGCGGCGGCGGCUGCACGCACGCUCACGGCGACGACGUCCAGCAUGCGGUGGCGGCGGCUGCUGCGCACGCACGCAAGGCCGCGGCACGCCAGCACGACCGAGGUGGCUCCAGCCGGCGUGGUUGCGCCGCCGUCUCCAGUCCCGACCAGCGUCGGAGAGGUGCUUCGCCGGGGCGUCGCCAUGGCGAAGAGCGCGGAGUGCACACGAUGUGUUCGAGGAAAUGCCAGAGAGAGAGAGGAGGAGGAGGAGGAGGAGGAAGAAAAUUAA